AAGUCGUAACAAGGUUUCCGUAGGUGAACCUGCGGAAGGAUCAUUCACAAUAAGUGUUUAUGGCACUUUCAAAUCCAUACCCACCUUGUGUGCAUUGUAAGGGCCCCUUCUUCAAAAGACUGGGCUUCAUUUUCUCACACACACGUCUUCAAUUGCAAGUCUAAACAUUCAGAGUAAUCAAAAAACUCGAAUACAACUUUCAACAACGGAUCUCUUGGCUCUC
rnacentral:misc_RNA from 1 species